AGAGGCUUAGGAUAAUCUUUAAAACCAAGAGCCUUCAAAGCUCUCAAUAAGGGCUAAAACCCUUAGCCCCUG
rnacentral:tRNA from 1 species